AAAACGAUGACCAUACUAAGGCUACAGGAAAGGCAUACAAAGCAUAUCAUACAGUUAUUAUAUAACACCACGCCUUUAGACAUUUCCAAAUAUACAAAACAUAAGGUACUGAAUUCUUUUACAUAGACUGAUAUGACUCAAAAAUACAAUGGUCAAUGAGAGAAAAAAAAGGCACAGGAUUUUCUUUUGUACAUCAAUGCCAACUAAAAAUAAUAAGAAUUGUAAUUAAAGAAAAGCGACAAAAAAACUGUUAAGAGCAUUUGUCUUGCACUCUGACUCAAUGUUUUGCUGGCACAUUUCCUCAUGAACAAAUUUGCUUUACUAACCCUCCUAUAAAACUUUCAGCUAGAUGUCAGUGCCACCGAACUACCCGCUCAAUUGUAGGCUCAACUCCAACCAGCUCCAUUCUAGGAAUAGAUGGAUUUGUAGUUUUCGACUCCUACUUCAAAAAAGUUUGUUGGGCCUCUACUUUGAGUGAGAACCAUACAGUCAUACUGCAAACACAUAAAAAGUAACGGUUGAAGUAAUGCAGAAUAAUAUUCUCAAGUUUAAUAUACAUAGGAAAAUGAAAAUAUCAUUAUAACAAACAAGGAAAAAGGUUUAUAAGUUCUAUAUUGAUGCUCACAAUGUCUCUAUCCAGCUCAGAAAGUCAUUUUACUUUUGAGAGCAUCAUCGAUUUAAUCUUUAUUUUCUCAAGUGGAUAACAAUUCAUCAUUGUCACCAACUACACAAUAGGAAAUGUGAAUAAAAAGACUGCAGUAAGAAUUAAGGGAGAAGUCCAGGGAAGUUUAACCCCCACUCUCAAAUGAGGGAUCCAUGUGCUUACUUUGCUUUCCAUGUAGCUUCAAAAUAAUGUAUUACCUGUUGUAGAUUUUACUCGUUCUCACUGCCAUUCUACUGGAAAUUCCACAAGGAAAAUAUAUGCCUUCUUCUUUCAUAGUAGUGAACGCUGGGUAAUGAAAACAGAACAUGGUAAAUUUACCUGAAUAUGUCCCACAAAUAUUUGUACGAUGGAUGUUAGUUUAACUCGAACCAAUUGCACUAAUAAAAUAGAACACUUAGAAAGAAGGUAAAAUCAGCCUCAGCAACAACGACUUUCACUAAGUAGAAGUCUCCACUAAUUAGACUGAAAUAGAGCCUAGUAAAUUAAUAGCCGAUUGAUAUUUUUUGAGGUUUGGCGGCCAUCUCUUUUUCUGUUCAGCUAGUACUAUAACAAAAUUCUGUAGAUACCUUGGCAACAGUAGCGGAAUCCUUAACACAAACCAGUAACCCAAGUACAUGGUAGCUAAGAAUAUAUAGGCGCUAACUUGGAGCAAGAGAACUCCUUUAGGUAUUACCAUUAUUAUUGUCAAGCACAUCUACCAGAAUCUUUUUUUAAGGGAGAAACAUGACAGUAGCCAAUUUAUUUAGUUCUCAUCAGUAAAUAAAAACAGGUACUAAAAUAGUUAUCCAGGAAGGGUAGCUUCCUAGUUGUAAUCAUACCUAAUUGUAGAACUUCGGGUACGAUUUAGUGUGAAGGACGCACCUUCUGACCUCCUGACCUCCAGCCAGAACAAUCAAAUUGAUCAACAUAUUGGAUUGGCCUGCUUGGGAC
rnacentral:lncRNA from 1 species